AAACAACAGAUCAUAUUAAAACCAUGAACUCAAUAUAUAUUUUUAAAGAACUAACAAUCUUUUUGUUCUCAUUCUUUGUUCUAGAUUACCUUUUGCUUCUUAGGUAAACUUCUACUAUUUUACCGUCUAUGGAUAUACUGAAUAUUUUAUCUAAAAUGUUAGAAAUUAAAAAAAAAAAAAAAAAAUUAAUCAGUAUAUUAGGAGUUCUGAAUCUAAUUACUUUAUCUAAUUCGAAGUGUACCAAUACAUGGCUUUUAUAAACCUUGGUUGCGAAAUUUUGAAACCAGUCAACAGUCUUUAGGAUAUGGAAU